AGUGAACGCUGGCGGUAGGCCUAACACAUGCAAGUCGAACGGCAGCACAGUAAGAGCUUGCUCUUACGGGUGGCGAGUGGCGGACGGGUGAGGAAUACAUCGGAAUCUACUUUUUCGUGGGGGAUAACGCAGGGAAACUUACGCUAAUACCGCAUACGACCUACGGGUGAAAGCAGGGGAUCUUCGGACCUUGCGCGAUUGAAUGAGCCGAUGUCGGAUUAGCUAGUUGGCGGGGUAAAGGCCCACCAAGGCGACGAUCCGUAGCUGGUCUGAGAGGAUGAUCAGCCAAACUGGAACUGAGACACGGUCCAGACUCCUACGGGAGGCAGCAGUGGGGAAUAUUGGACAAUGGGCGCAAGCCUGAUCCAGCCAUACCGCGUGGGUGAAGAAGGCCUUCGGGUUGUAAAGCCCUUUGUUGGGAAAGAAAAGCAGCAGGUUAAUACCCCGCUGUUCUGACGGGACCCAAAGAAUAAGCACCGGCGAACUUCGG
rnacentral:rRNA from 1 species